GGUCUGCCCCCUGAGGAUUAACUUAAAGGGCCGCGGUAAUUUGACCGUGCGAAGGUAGCAUAAUCAUUAGUUCUUUAAUUGAGGGCUUGUAUGAAUGGCCGGAUGGAAAGGAAGUUGUCUCUUUGGGCUAUAUUUUGAAUUUAACAUUUGUGUGAAAAGGCAUUAAUGGUUUGGGGGGACGAUAAGACCCUAUAAAACUUGUAUAUAUUUAUAGUUUCAAGUUGAGUUAGUAAAAGAUAUGGGGUUAUGAUUGUAUUGAGUUGGGGCGACUGAGAUAUGAUUUUUGGAUGUAUAGCUAUUUUAGGGUGUAAAAUACUGAUAAGUAGAUGGUGAUCCUUCAAUAGAGAUUAUUAGGUUAAGUUACUUUAGGGAUAACAGCGUAAUUUCUUUUAAGAGUUCGUAUCGAUAGAGUGAGUUGCGACCUCGAUGUUGAAUUAAAGUUUCUUUUAGGUGCAGCAGCUUAAAUAAGUGGGUCUGUUCGACCUUUAAAGCUUUACAUGAUUUGAGUUCAGACCGGUGUGAG
rnacentral:rRNA from 1 species